UGAGCUGAUUUGCAUAUGGAGUCAUUAUCCAACAGCCCAGGCUCCUUUAAGGGCAGCUGCCAGGAGCCUAAGAAGCAUCCUCUCUUCCAGCUCUCAGAGAUGGAGCCAGACACACUCCUGCUAUGGGUGCUGCUGCUCUGGGUUCCAGGCUCCACUGGUGACAUUGUGCUGACCCAGUCUCCAGCUUCUUUGGCUGUGUCUCUAGGGCAGAGGGCCACCAUCUCCUGCAAGGCCAGCCAGAGUGUAGAUAGUUAUGGCAUAAGUUUUAUGCACUGGUACCAACAGAAACCAGGACAGCCACCCAAACUCCUCAUCUAUGGUGCAUCCAACCUAGCAUCUGGGGUCCCUGACAGGUUCAGUGGCAGUGGGUCUGGGACAGAUUUCACCCUCACCAUCAAUCCUGUGGAGGCUGAUGAUGUUGCAACCUAUUACUGUCAGCAAGAUAUGGAGGAUCCGUACACGUUUGGAUCCGGGACCAAGCUGGAGAUAAAACGGGCUGAUGCUGCACCAUCUAUAUCCAUCUUCCCACCAUCCAAGGAGCAGUUAGAAACUGGAGGUGCCUCAAUCGUGUGCUUUGUGAACAACUUCUAUCCCAAAGACAUCAGUGUCAAGUGGAAGAUUGAUGGCAGUGAAAAACAAGAUGGCGUCCUGAACAGUGUGACUGAUCAGGACAGCAAAGACAACACCUACAGCCUGAGCAGUACCCUCACGUUGACCAAGAAUGAGUAUGAACGGCAUACCGUCUAUACCUGUGAGGCCACUCAUAACUCGAAGGCCAUUGUCAAGAGCUUCAACAGGAAUGAGUGUUAGAACCAAAGGUCCUGAGGUGCCACCACCUGCUCCCCAGCUCCACCCAAUCUUCCCUCCGAAGGUCUUGGAGACUUCCCCAUAAGCGAGCUACAACUGUUGCAGUGCUCCAAGCCUCCUCCGAACCUCACCCUCCUCCCUCCCUUUCCUUGGCUUUUAUCAUGCUAAUAUUUGGGGAAGAUAUUGAAUAAAGUGAAUCUUUGCACUUGA